rnacentral:rRNA from 1 species
GUGGGGAAUCUUCCACAAUGGGGGCAACCCUGAUGGAGCAACACCGCGUGCUGGAUGAAGGCCUUCGGGUCGUAAACAGCUUUUGUAUACGAAGAAUAUGACGGUAAUAUACGAAUAAGGGUCGGCUAACUACGUGCCAGCAGCCGCGGUCAUACGUAGGACCCAAGCGUUAUCCGGAGUGACUGGGCGUAAAGAGUUGCGUAGGCGGCUUAUUAAGCGAGUAGUGAAAUCUGGUGGCUCAACCAUCAACACAUUGCUCGAACUGAUAGGCUUGAGAAUGGUAGAGGUAGUUGGAAUUUCUUGUGUAGGAGUGAAAUCCGUAGAUAUAAGAAGGAACACCAAUGGCGUAGGCAGACUACUGGACCAUUUCUGACGCUGAGGCACGAAAGCGUGGGGAGCGAACCGGAUUAGAAACCCUAGUAGUCC